GAUGAAGAACGUAGUGAAAUGCGAUAAGUAAUGUGAAUUGCAGAAUUCAGUGAAUCAUCGAAUCUUUGAACGCACAUUGCGCCCUCUGGUAUUCCGGGGGGCAUGCCUGUUCGAGCGUCAUUAUAACCACUCAAGCUCUCGCUUGGUAUUGGGGUUCGCGGUUUCGCGGCCCCUAAAAUCAGUGGCGGUGCCUGUCGGCUCUACGCGUAGUAAUACUUCUCGCGAUUGAGUUCGAUAGGUCUACUUGCCAGUAACCCCCAAUUUUUACAGGUUGACCUCGGAUCAGGUAGGGAUACCCGCUGAACUUAAGCAUAUCAUAACGAGGA
rnacentral:misc_RNA from 1 species